GGGUGCGAUCAUACCAGCACUAAUGCACCGGAUCCCAUCAGAACUCCGCAGUUAAGCGUGCUUGGGCGAGAGUAGUACUAGGAUGGGUGACUGGAAGUCCUCGCGGUCGCACCCU